GACAAACCGUGCGAACGUUGUUCGGAUUCACUGGGCUUAAAGGGCGCGUAGGCGGGUGACCAAGUCCGGGGUGAAAUCUUUCGGCUCAACCGGAAAAGUGCCUUGGAUACUGGUCAUCUCGAGGGAGGUAGGGGCAUGCGGAACUUCCGGUGGAGCGGUGAAAUGCGUAGAUAUCGGAAGGAACGCCGGUGGCGAAAGCGGCGUGCUGGACCUCUUCUGACGCUGAGGCGCGAAAGCCAGGGGAGCGAACGGG
rnacentral:rRNA from 1 species